UCCCUGUUGGCUCAGAUGGUAAAGAAUCUGCCUGCAAUGUAGGAGACCCGGGUUUGAUCCCUGGGUUGGGAA
rnacentral:tRNA from 1 species